rnacentral:tRNA from 1 species
GGGGAUGUAGCUCAAUGGUAGAGCACCUUCCAAGGACAUCAAGGUCCUGUGUUCCAUUCCCAGCAUCACCA